rnacentral:tRNA from 1 species
CGCGGAGUGGAGCAGUCGGUAGCUUGUCGGUCUCAUACGCCGAAGGUCACAGGUUCGAGUCCUGUCUUCGCAACAA